AUCGGUGUAGCUCAGUGGUAGAGCGCGAGUCUCCAAAACUCGGCGUCCGGGGUUCGAUUCCCUGCACCGGUGCCA
rnacentral:tRNA from 1 species